rnacentral:rRNA from 1 species
GACGAACGCUGGCGGCGUGCCUAAUACAUGCAAGUAGAACGCACAGUUUAUACCGUAGCUUGCUACACCAUAAACUGUGAGUUGCGAACGGGUGAGUAACGCGUAGGUAACCUGCCUGGUAGCGGGGGAUAACUAUUGGAAACGAUAGCUAAUACCGCAUAAUAUUGAUUAUUGCAUGAUAAUUGAUUGAAAGAUGCUAUUGCAUCACUACCAGUUGGACCUGCGUUGUAUUAGCUAGUAGGUGAGGUAACGGCUCACCUAGGCGACGAUACAUAGCCGACCUGAGAGGGUGAUCGGCCACACUGGGACUGAGACACGGCCCAGACUCCUACGGGAGGCAGCAGUAGGGAAUCUUCGGCAAUGGACGAAAGUCUGACCGAGCAACGCCGCGUGAGUGAAGAAGGUUUUCGGAUCGCAAAGCUCUGUUGUAAGAGAAGAACGGGUGUGAGAGUGGAAAGUUCACACUGUGACGGUAUCUUACCAGAAAGGGACGGCUAACUACGUG